AUGAUAUAAAGCUCACUGUCUGGUUCGUCCGGAGCUGUUCAAAAAGCUCAAACGAAGUUGACUGUCCAAAAGGGACAGAUUGUUGUUUUUCGCAGAUUUGGCAUGUGCGAAGCUGUGAAGCUUGCAGGUGGCGUGUAGGCUUUUGCCUUAGCCAAAAGUGACGUGUGUAUGAUCAAAACCAAGUCCUUUCGAUCGUUCUAAGGUCGUAAACUCCAUGACUAGUUAGAAAAAGCUCCCUGACAUGAACAUAAACUAACUCAGAGGACCUAGAGGAUCCGAUCAUGAUGAUAAUUUUCCAGCUUUGAUAAGUCUUCAACGUCUUUACGGCAAUUGGUUUAAUAGCGUAGGGGGAUCCAAAAUCAAAAGCUUUCGGUAACUCCAAGUCAGUAUGACCAGGCAUGUCCGUGGAGGGUCGGUAGUGCGAGGCACACUUAAAACCACUAUCUCCUUAAUUUCGAACAAUUCUAAGACAUCACACUGAGCUUGGAUGAGCCUAGUUGAACAAUUGAUGAUGAAAAAUCCGCUAUAGGGUAGAAGACUUAACCGGAAACACGUGGGCGAUCCUCCUUGAGGAUGCAGUGCCAAGAGUCACCUUCAAGGAAGGGACCAAAAUCGGACACAAUAUGCCAUGUUCUAAGGACGAUGUAAGUGUACAUCUUGAAUUGUAAAUCAAUAAUGAACCAUAAGAGGAGAAUAGUUUCACUUCGAAAAAAUUCUCAAGGCAUUUAUUAUUGCUAAUGUGAGUACAUCGAGGUCUCAAAUAGAUAAAGGACGUCGAUACAACGCCUUAGUACAUAUAACUUGGAACGAAAAUCAAUGUCUAGCCGAUGACAUCAAAGUCAUGGGUAGCUAGAGCAGGAUCUGAAUCUUUGAUAUUCGCGAUCAUGAGAAUGACGUUCUUGUCCUCAUAUUGAUUUUCCAUACCUUUUUGUAUGCAUUCACAAUUUAAAGGAGCUUGACAAUCUUGAACCAGUGAUCCGAAGAUCCACAACGGUUGCAUUAAUGUCAUGAGCUGACGUGAGUAGUUUUGACAAAAUAGUGUCUAGACCGGGAGUGUCGC
rnacentral:lncRNA from 1 species